AUGCAUUACAUUUAUGUCAGGAAAAAUACAACCCAGAUGGGUUGGCAAUGCGUGUUAUAAAGACGGCGAGUGUGGCUGAGCGGUUGCCCAAGUCACAAGAAGUUUGCAAGGAACGAGAGUUGCCAGCAGUGGUCGAUCAUUUCAUGCAUGCUUAGGUUCCAGAAGAGGCUCGUCUCCUGCGCUGUGGGAAGAAGACAUGGCUGGAUCACAAUGAGAACGCCAACUCCCCGCAAGUGUUCAGCCAAUCGGUUCUGCUGCUUGAUGGCAGAGGGCAUUUAAUUUGUCCACUUGCUGCCAUUGUGGCAAAGCAAGUUCUGCUGGGCCACAAGGUGGUAGUUGAGGGUAUCAACGUAUUUGGAAACUUUUAGUGUAACAAAUGUUUGAAGUGUUGCUGCAUUCUCCUGCCCAGACUGCAGAUAACACCAGGAUCACUUGUGUACGUUGACAGGCCUGGAGGAUCUUGAAAACGAUGGGAGAUUCUUCAAGGGCUUCAGUUGUGAAAUGAAAUGCUUCUAAGUAAACAUUUAGUUGAUUGGAUUGUAAACUUUGCUGUAUCCUGUGCAUAUGACCAAUAUUAACUUGGAUUUGAUUCCCCAAAGUUGCCAAGGCAACAGUCAAGGAAUGUUGGUGAUAUGACAUGUCCCUGGACUCCUUCCUACCAGAGUUUUCCUAAGUAAAACGCUUUGUGUCAACUGCUGAUGUAAAAAGGGCUAUCUAAAUAGAAUUGUUAAAGUCCAUUGCCACUAAUCAAGUAAUUUGUGCUUGCAGCAUUUGAA